GAAGAAGAAGUUAAAAGAGAAUGAAAGGAUGACGAAAAAAGAAAAAAGAUCCAGUCUCCCCCCAAACUGCAUCAGUUCUACUCAAACAGAUUAUCCUCUGAUCAUUUUCACUCUGGCCACACGGGAGCUGUGCACGAUUAGUCACGAACCUUUGGGGAGAAACGUUUGUAACCUCCAAACAAAGCUCGGCGGUGAACAAAGGCAAAAAAUGUUGUUAUUCUUCCUGAUGAUGGGCUCCUCUGCUGCGGUGCGGCCAGAAUUUUAGAAAAAUUUCAAUAAACGGCCGUCACGCAAGCGGUGCCUUUAACUAGACAGAAACAAAACAAGCCUGACAGCGCUGUGUGUGUGUGUGUGUGCGUGUGGUUUUUCUUUCUUUCCUUUCCUUUCCUUUGAAUUUGGUCAUUAUUCAGCACAGAGCAGAAAGGAAGCCAAGUGUGGCAGGUGAGAGCAUCUUGACUAGACAGCUGUCAAAGCCGUUCGGAACGGGAGGGCAUCGCGGAGAGCCGCAUCACCGGUGGAGGCCUCGUCGCCCUGACUGCUGAGAGGCAGCGCUCUUUAAACCGGCAUCAGCCAGAGCUCACUUCACUGACUCCAGCAGUUUCAAAAUGCUGCCGUCUGGAUUCUAAGUGGCACCAAGGAGUGUGAACACGUCAUUCCAGCGCUGAGCACCAAAUCACAACAGCAAUCAGCUCUGCCCCCACCCCAAACCCUCUUGGCAACAGUGGGGAGGAAAACAAUCUUUUUAAGAGGAAGAAAAAUCCACUAGAACAUGAAGGUGACUAAAACAAAACAUGAGCAACUGAAACGUGAGCGUGAUGGAACAAACAUCAGUAUGAUGGGCCAUGCGUAAUUGCUCCUUUUUGCAUCCAUAAUUAUUAUUACAAACAUGUGACUUUGCUGACAUGCCCAUGCUGGGAUACUACAGAACAUUUCUUCACUACUUUUACUGUUGACUCAGCAGCCAGAUUGGUAACGUAGUAAGACCAAAGGAUGCGAAAGCAAUGUAAAAGCCACAGGUUGUGAAGGUGAAAAUAAAAACGACAGACUUUUUGUAAGAUAGCAAAUGAUUUGAAACUUACAAUAAACAACAAAAGCAAAAAGCAAGUGAAAAACAUCCCAUCACCCCAA